UGGUCGGACGCCUAGCCUGUGUAAAGCUCCUUCGACGAGUCGAGUAGUUUGGGAAUGCUGCUCUAAAUGGGAGGUAUAUGUCUUCUAAAGCUAAAUACCGGCCAGAGACCGAUAGCGCACAAGUAGAGUGAUCGAAAGAUGAAAAGCACUUUGAAAAGAGGGUUAAAUAGUACGUGAAAUUGUUGAAAGGGAAGCGCUUGUGACCAGACUUGGGCCCGGUGGAUCAUCCAGCGUUCUCGCUGGUGCACUCCGCCGGGUUCAGGCCAGCAUCAGUUCGCCGCGGGGGAAAAAGGCUUCGGGAACGUGGCUCCUACGGGAGUGUUAUAGCCCGUUGCAUAAUACCCUGGGGCGGACUGAGGUUCGCGCUCCGCAAGGAUGCUGGCGUAAUGGUCAUCAGCGACCCGUCUUGAAACACGGACCAAGGAG
rnacentral:rRNA from 1 species